GCUUCUGGAAGAACAGAAUGGACAGGCAUAGGCCGCGGCGGCAACUUGGGUUGCGACCGCCGCCGCACGUCUCCCGCCAGUUCGCUCCCCCUCGCCCCGUACGUCCGUGCCGAGGAAGUUAGGAGGUACGCACCGCCGGCGCGCGCCUUACAUUGCACUGAUUGCGUGUUCAUCUUAGUUCCGCUGGUUCCAUGAAACGACGGACGAAGUUCCAUACAGCUUACCUCCUUCGUUUCUAGGUUUCUACCGCCUCAUGCCUUGAUUUUGAAGGUGGAAAGGAACAGGAUGAUGUACGGAGAUUCAGAGUCAUCUGUACAAUAUCGAUGAAGGAGGAAUUUGUGGACUACAAACACACCAGCAGAUGAGCAGAAGUGGUGAGGAUGUCAUCACUUCCCCUACGGUGAAACUCCAAUCAGGUUGGAUGAUCAUAGUUAUUAAGCAAUUAAAUACCUGGACACACUCAACCAUGAUCUUUCAUAUGUCAUCUGAUAAGGAAACAAGCAUUGCUUCCAUUAAAUCUAAGCUAGUUAGCAGAAACAAGGUGAGAACCUUGUUUGGUUGAUGGGGAUUAGCAAAAACAAGCCUUGAGUUGAGUGAAUUACAGUUCCGUUCAAUCUUUAGCUGGAAGACCUAUUCAAGCCACCAUGAUUAGCUAGGCUUCUUGUUCUUUGGUGUCCGGCUGUGUCUUCGGGUCCCCGCACCCUUUUCAGCAUUAUCCUUUUUUCUUGCUGUAAAUUUGCUUUGUAACAUUACCCUCCCUUCAUCAAUGAAAUCAGCUGCUAGCUGCUUUUCGUCAAAAAGAAAGAGAGAAAAAUCCAACGCGCCCCAUAGUUAUCUAUGUGCACGCUACAUUACAUAUUUUGAUAGUUAAUA